GGGGCUCUGUGUUGUAUAAUCUAUUAUUCUCCCUCCAAAUUUAAAAAGAAAUACCCAAACGAAUCAAAUCCUUACUUUUAAGAUCUCACCGAGUCGAUCCUCUUCGCCAUUUCACUCGCUUCAUUUCAUAAUCUCAAACUCUAAUUCCUCAAUUCUCAGUUCUCAUUUUUUUUCAACAAUGGCGCCAAUUGAUCCUCACUCCUUCACUGAUUCCGCUCACCCACUCACCACCCAUAUUUUCCUUUCUCUUUACUUCGAUUUCUCUUCUUCCAGCAUCCACGCCACCGCUUUACUCUCCCUCGCCGCCCCUCACACCGGUACUCUCUCCCUGGACACCCGCUCUCUCGCCAUCUACAAAGUCCUUGACCCUCAAACCCUAAAUCCUCUUCCUUUCUCUCUUUCCCUAAUUGACCCAAUCAAGGGUAGUCAUCUCACUGUCACUCUCCAAAACCAUUCUUCAGUUUUAAUCUUCUACUCCACCUCCCCUUCUUCCUCCGCCCUCCAGUGGCUGUCUCCGCCACAAACUUUUGGAAAGAUCCAUCCUUUUGUUUUUACCCAAUGCCAAUCCAUCCACGCCCGCUCCGUUUUCCCCUGCCAGGACACUCCAGCCGCCCGAGUUUGUUACUCUGCCAAGCUCAACAUUCCCCACCACCUUUCAGCCGUGAUGUCGGCCAGACAUUCUGACCGCCGAGCGCCUGUUAGUGGGGAUGUUAAUGAAAUGGUAACUGGAGAUGUUGGGUUUGACUUCCGGUUGUUGUGGUGUGCCGAAGGGAGGGUGGUGGAGGAGUUUGUUAUGGAGCAGCCGAUUCCGCCUUAUUUGUUUGCGUUUGCGGUUGGGGAAUUGGGUUUCAGGGAGGUGGGGCCCAGGACUAAGGUUUACUCAGAGGCAGUAGCUGAAGUGUUGGAUGCGGCAGCUAGGGAAUUUACUGGUACUGAGGAGAUGGUAAGGCAAGGAGAAAAGUUGUUUGGACCGUAUGAGUGGGAGCGAUUCGAUUUGUUGGUUUUGCCACCUAGUUUUCCUUAUGGGGGAAUGGAGAAUCCCAGGAUGGUGUUCUUGACCCCAACAGUGAUCAAGGGGGAUGCCAGUGGAGCGCAAGUUGUGGCACAUGAGUUGGCUCAUAGCUGGACUGGUAACCUGAUUACUAACAAAAAUAAUGACCAUUUUUGGUUGAAUGAGGGUUUUACAACAUAUGCAGAGAGGAGAAUCGUUGAGGCUGUUCAAGGAGAAGACAGAGCUGUACUGAAUAUUGGAAUUGGAUGGAGAGGUUUAAAUGAGGAAAUAGAGAGAUUUAAGGACAACAUGGAGUUCACCAAACUCAAAACAAAUCAGGAGGAAGUCGAUCCUGAUUAUGUGUAUUCCCAAGUUCCAUACGAGAAGGGUUUCCAGUUUUUGUGGCGCAUAGAACGCCAGAUCGGAAGACCCGUAUUCGAUGAAUUCCUCAAGAAAUAUAUUGCCACCUUCAAGUUCAAAUCAAUUGAUACGGAGAUGUUUCUUGAUUUCUUGAAAGCAAAUGUCCCUGGAAUAGAGAAAGAUAUUGACCUUCAAUUAUGGACAGAGGGUACUGGUAUCCCUCCUGAUGCAUACGAACCAGUUUCCAACUUAUAUACGAAGAUUGUAUCACUAGCGAAUGAAUUUAAGCAUGGAAGGAUGCCUAGGGAGGAUGAAGUUGCCGACUGGCAAGGGCAAGAGUGGGAGCUUUACCUAGAAAACCUGCCCAAAUCUGUUGAAGCUUCUCAGAUCUUAGCCUUGGAUGCACGCUACAGGCUGUCAGAAUCAAAGGAUUAUGAGGUGAAAGUUGGGUUUCUCCAACUGGCCAUUUCAUCUAGCUGCAGAGAUUACUAUGGUGAGGUAGAGAAAACUUUAAAGGCAGUUGGGAGGAUGAAGUACCUUCGACCACUCUACACUGCUCUUGUUAAAGGAAAAGAAGAAGAAAAGAUUUUGGGUAAAAGGGUGUUUGCAGAAGCUCGUGAAUUUUAUCACCCAAUAGCUCAAGGCGUUGUUGAGUCCUUCUUUGCCAAGCACAUGUAGGAUGGACCAUAGCAAAAUAAUCUCAUUUCCUCUCAUAAAACUUGGUGUUUGAGCCUGUAUCCUUAGUCCUAGAGAUCUCAUCUAGGAGGAUAAUAUUAACUUGUGAUCUUGUUAAUACAUGCAUAAUGAAGCAUGUCUUAUUGCCAUAGAUUUUGGGGCAGUGGCUGUGUACUAAUGGAUCUGUUUGUUAAUGCUGGAAAUGCAAGACAAUGUAAUUAUACAUGCAUGAUGAAGCAUGCAUAAUAUCUGUUUGUUUCAUGGAAAAUAUAUUUUUCGUAUUUUCAAGUGUUU
rnacentral:misc_RNA from 1 species